rnacentral:rRNA from 1 species
UACGUAGGGACCAAGCGUUGUUCGGAUUUACUGGGCGUAAAGGGCGCGUAGGCGGCAAUUCAAGUCAUCUGUGAAAUCUCCGGGCUUAACCCGGGACGGUCAGAUGAUACUGCUUUGCUAGAGUGCAGAAGGGGCAAUCGGAAUUCUCGGUGUAGCGGUGAAAUGCGUAGAUAUCGAGAGGAACACCUGAGGUGAAGACGGGUUGCUGGGCUGACACUGACGCUGAAGCGCGAAAGCCAGGGGAGCAAACGGG